UUUUUUUUGUGUUCAGUUUUGUUUCAAAAUAAAAAAUAAUCACACAUCAUUGUUUAGAGAGACAAUCUACAACAGGAGAUACAAAAAAAAUAGUUGCCCAGGCAACAAGCACACACACAGGUUUCUGUUAGAACUAUACACAUUAUGGUUACAGAAGAUGCUCCUAUUCAGAUACACAAGGCUCGCCACUUCAAAAUGUACACAUGCCGCUGCCCACCGCAGUAGUCCUGGUUACGGACGGCGAGACAGGCGACGCCCGGCCUUUACCGGGGGACAUUAUGAUACAUCACUUUUACAGGACUAUUAUUAAAGGUACAAACAAAAAAAGCAGACCACGCUGCUGCCGUCUUUUGUACAACCCACGGUUUCACUGUACCCUGAGGAGAGCAGAGGGGUUCGAGGUAGACUCAGCCAUAUGACAUGGUAACACAGCGGGAGCUACUUCCUGCUUCCAGACAUCAGUAACAACACAAGUCAUAUAUUAUAUCCCGAGACCACCACUGACCGCUCUUCCCAAUGUGGGCGUCACGCCUCAAGAGAAGAACCAAUAGUGGUAGUCUUGGCAGAUCGUUGUUGAUGUCUACAAGCCGGGAAGUCGCCCCGGUGUGUUACCAUGUCAUAUCACUGAGUCAACCUUUAAACUCAUCGCCCCCCACCCCAUCCAUUACCCUUAGACAAGGGGAAAGCAUUCCUAUAAAAUAUCUAAAAAUACAAAAACACAAGCAGACUGCUAACAGUGUGUCCUGUGGUGGCGGUUACAACCCCCAAACUACACUGUAAACAUCUCGCGUGUGUUCUGUAGCGUGUGUUCUGUAGCGUGUGUUCUGUAGCGUGUGUUCUGUAGCGUGUGUUCUGUAGCGUGUGUUCUGUAAGGUGUGUUCUGUAGCGUGUGUUCUGUAGCGUGUGUUCUGUAAGGUGUGUUCUGUAGCGUGUGUUCUGUAAGGUGUGUUCUGUAGCGUGUGUUCUGUAACGUGUGUUCUGUAGCGUGUGUUCUGUAGCGUGUGUUCUGUAGCGUGUGUUCUGUAAGGUGUGUUCUGUAGCGUGUGUUCUGUAGCGUGUGUUCUGUAAGGUGUGUUCUGUAGCGUGUGUUCUGUAGCGUGUGUUCUGUAGCGUGUGUUCUGUAGCGUGUGUUCUGUAAGCGUGUGUUCUGUAGCGUGUGUUCUGUAGCGUGUGUUCUGUAGCGUGUGUUCUGUAGCGUGUGUUCUGUGUUCUGUAGCGUGUGUUCUGUAGCGUGUGUUCUGUAAGGUGUGUUCUGUAGCGUGUGUUCUGUAGCGUGUGUUCUGUAGCGUGUGUUCUGUAGCGUGUGUUCUGUAGCGUGUGUUCUGUAGCGUGUGUUCUGUAGCGUGUGUUCUGUAGCGUGUGUUCUGUAGCGUGUGUUCUGUAGCGUGUGUUCUGUAGCGUGUGUUCUGUAAGGUGUGUUCUGUAAGGUGUGUUCUGUAGCGUGUGUUCUGUAGCGUGUGUUCUGUAACGUGUGUUCUGUAGCGUGUGUUCUGUAACGUGUGUUCUGUAACGUGUGUUCUGUAACGUGUGUUCUGUAGCGUGUGUUCUGUAGCGUGUGUUCUGUAACGUGUGUUCUGUAGCGUGUGUUCUGUAACGUGUGUUCUGUAACGUGUGUUCUGUAGCGUGUGUUCUGUAGCGUGUGUUCUGUAGCGUGUGUUCUGUAGCGUGUGUUCUGUAGCGUGUGUUCUGUAGCGUGUGUUCUGUAGCGUGUGUUCUGUAGCGUGUGUUCUGUAAGGUGUGUUCUGUAGCGUGUGUUCUGUAAGGUGUGUUCUGUAGCGUGUGUUCUGUAGCGUGUGUUCUGUAAGGUGUGUUCUGUAAGGUGUGUUCUGUAGCGUGUGUUCUGUAAGGUGUGUUCUGUAGCGUGUGUUCUGUAGCGUGUGUUCUGUAAGGUGUGUUCUGUAAGGUGUGUUCUGUAGCGUGUGUUCUGUAGCGUGUGUUCUGUAACGUGUGUUCUGUAAGGUGUGUUCUGUAGCGUGUGUUCUGUAGCGUGUGUUCUGUAAGGUGUGUUCUGUAGCGUGUGUUCUGUAGCGUGUGUUCUGUAAGGUGUGUUCUGUAGCGUGUGUUCUGUAGCGUGUGUUCUGUAGCGUGUGUUCUGUAGCGUGUGUUCUGUAACGUGUGUUCUGUAGCGUGUGUUCUGUAGCGUGUGUUCUGUAGCGUGUGUUCUGUAGCGUGUGUUCUGUAGCGUGUGUUCUGUAGCGUGUGUUCUGUAGCGUGUGUUCUGUAGCGUGUGUGCUGUAAUGUUUUGACUGCUACAGAACAGGCGGAAACCCAGAGUCACUGUCAGCUGUUGACGCUUCAGUCAGAUGCCAUGUCUCACUCUCUGUAAUUUAUAUAGACUUGUGUAAAAAAUAAAAGAGUCUCUUCACUACUGACAUGUUGGUGUACCACGUCUCGUUGACUUCAGUGGUAACUGUGGCGUAAUGGACGUUUAGUAAACGGACAGGGAGCGUUUGCAGUGUAGUUCGGUGGAUGGGGUUGAGGUGGUGAGUUCUGUUGUUGAGGUGGUGAGUUCUGUUGUUGAGGUGGUGAGUUCUGUUGUUGAGGUGGUGAGUUCUGUUGUUGAGGUGGUGAGUUCUGUUGUUAAGGUGGUGAGUUCUGUUGAGGUGGGGGGUGCUUUGUACAAGUACUACGCAGUAUAGAAAGGAAUUUUCAAAACCAAAAUUUGAUAUUACAAUUUACAAUAUACAACAACUCAUAUGUCACAAACAAGGAGGUGGGAAUAUGCAUCGAAAUGCACAGAGUUAAGAGUUUUUUUUAAACGUUUUGUUUUUUUAUAUAUAGAUAUACAUAUAUAUAUACAUAUAUAUAUAUAUCGUCUGAUACCAAAAAGGGUGGUAAAUCACGUUUACAUUACAAGGGUUUACAAAUGUACAAUUACACAGUCAGAAAUGUGUUCACUACUAGGAGACAUUAUAGAUAGUCAACAUCAAAAAACAGAAAAACUAAAGUUUUUUAUAUUUAUAUAUAUGCAAAGUUCUACACCAAGUAUACACGCGCUCUAUAUAUAUAUAUAGAUAGAAGCAGGACUGGAAACGAACCUCCCAUGUUAAAUGACUUGCUGGUAAGCACAUGGCUUGUGUGUUUGUAUAUGGGACGAUGAUUUGGUGACGUACUCAGUCAAAUUAAAUUACGUUCCAUCCCAUACUAGCGGUACGACACAGAACUGUGAUUGCCACAGCAGUAGCAAAACAGUGAAAUGAUUCUAGUUUAUACAAAAGACGAAUGAAGAAAAACAAAAACAGUGAGAAGGAACGAAGGGCAGGGACGUAUCUCACCUCCUCCCUGCAGCAGGGUAGGGACGUAUCUCACCUCCUCCCUGCAGCAGGGUAGGGACGUAUCUCACCUCCUCCCUGCAGCAGGGUAGGGACGUAUCUCACCUCCCCCUGCAGCAGGGUAGGGACGUAUCUCACCUCCCCCUGCAGCAGGGUAGGGACGUAUCUC
ensembl:lncRNA